UUACCUCAGCUCAAGCUUGGCUUGAAAUUAAUUUCGAGCCUAAAUUUAGGCUCAAGCUCGACUUAAAAUUAAUUUGAGCCGAGCUGAAGCGAGCCUAACUUCGAGUCGAGCGAGCUCGAGCCCUAAACGAGCCGCUUGAAAUUCUUAACAUCGUGCAAUCUAUAAUUUAAUUUUUAUAAAACAUUAUCUAAAUUUGAUGAAAAAAAUGUUUAAUAGUUUAAUAUACAAAAUGAAUGCAUGAAAUAUGAUAUUAUAAUAUUAAAAAAAUUAGGAAAAACAACUCUGUGAGCAAGUGAAAAAGAGAGAGCAAUUAGAGUAGAAUUUUGCUCGUUUGAUUUUGAGGGACCCAAUAAUCUAAAUUCUAUAUACAUAUAAUUAAAAUACAUAAUAUAUAUUAUUUUAUAUAAUGAAAGUAUAUAUUAUAUAUAAUUGUAUAUAUAGACAGUUUGGCUACUAUACUAUUAUGAGUAUAGAUCUAUUUAUACUCAUAAGUUUUCAACCGUUAGAUCUAUACUUUUGACCAUUUCCAUUAUAGGGGACUACUAUCAUCCUAAUCGCACAUCGAACGGCUAAAAAUCUAUAAGUAUAAAAGGAUCUAUACUCAUAAGAGUAUAUAUACUCUUAUGAGUACGAUCGCUCUCGUACUCAUAAGUUGUUUUUGAUGAUAGAGCUUCCGAAUCGACGAUUCAUACCGUUAAACAUUAUCUAGAGCAUUUAAAACUUCUAGAAAUCAAAUUUCAUAAUUUUACGACAUAAUUUACCUUACGAUCAAAAGCUCACAAAAUUGAUUAUUUUUAACGGCCGGUAUGGGAUACUUGCUAGUUUAACGGUGUAAAAGAAUUGGAAUAUGUUGAAUUUUUGAUAGAAAAUUCUAUUCACUACCUAGAAAAAGAUCAAUAACUCCGAUCUUAAAUUGAAGUAUCCGAUCAUCCAUUUUUAGGACGUCGUUCGAUUUUGACCGUUCAUUUUAUACCCGUUUGAUGGACUUUAUUAUGAUUUCGAAAAAUUACGAAAUUUAUUUUUUUGAAGUUUCAAAUACUCUAGAUCAUAUUUAAUGGAGUGGAUUGUCGAUUCGGAAGCCCCAUCAUCGAAAAUAAUUUAUGAGUACGAAGGGCUCAAUACUCAUAAGAGUAUAGUAGCCCUACUCUCUCUCUCUCUCUCUCUCUCUCUCUCUCUCUCUAUAUAUAUAUAUAUUUAUAUAUAUAUAGGCAACUAUACUAUUAAUAGUGCCAAUGGCUUGCUAUUAGAUUUUCUACCCUUGUAUGAAGGGAUGUGCAGUCAGGAUGAUAGUAGCCCCUUAAGGUUAAAUGGGUGGCUAGUUGAAUAGUCUGAUCUAACGGAUGAAAAUAACUAAAAUGGUAGAUCUAACGGCAGAAAACUCGAGAGUACUAAAUGCUUGGUACUAUCGAUAGUACAGUAGCCGAACUCUAUAUAUAUAUAUAUGUAGAUCUAAUGGUACAAAACUCGAUAGCACAAAACGAUUGGUACUAUCGAUAGUAUAGAUAGUAUAGUAGACGGACUAUAUAUAUAGAGAGAGAGUCCGGCAACUAUAUUAUUGAUAUUAUCGAUAGUACCAAAUGUUUGGUGCUAUCGAAUUUUGUGCCGUUAGAUCUGCCUCUCCGACCAUUUUCACCCAUUAGAUUAAUUAAACUUUUCAACUAAUCACACACUCAACCCUAGAAGAUCACUAUCAUCCAAACCACAUAUCCCUUCAUCUAAGGGUCGAAAACCUAAUAGCAAGUGGUUGGUACCAUUAAUAGUAUAGUAGACUAAUUAUAUAUAUAUAUAGAGUAGGGCUACUAUACUCUUAUGAGUAUUGGGCUCUUUGUACUCAUAAGUUAUUUUCGAUGAUGGGGCUUUCGAAUUGACGAUUUACUCCGUUAAAUAUGAUCUAGAAUAUUUGAAACUUCUAGAAAAUAAAUUUCGUAAUUUUUCGAAAUCAUAAUAAAGUCCAUCAAACAGGUAUAAAAUGAACAGUCGAAAUCGAACGACGUCCUAAAAAUGGAAGAUUGGAUCCUUCAAUUUAAGAUCGGAGAUAUUGAUCUUUAUCUAGGUAGUGAGUAGAAUUUUCUAUUAAAAAUUCAACCUAUUCCAAUUCUUUUACACCAUUAAACUAGCAAGUAUCUCAUACCGGUCGUCAAAAAUUGUUAAUUUUGUGAACUUUUGAUCGUAAGGUAAAUGAUGUCGAAAAAUUAUGAAUUUUGAUUUCUAUAAAUACUCUAGAUAAUAUUUAGCGGUAUAAAUCGUCGAUUCGGAAGCUCUAUCAUCGAAAACAACUUAUGAGUACGAGGGCGAUCGUACUCAUAAGAGUAUAGUAGCCGGACUCUCUCUCUCUCUCUCUCUCUCUCUCUCUCUCUCUCUCUCUAUAUAUAUAUAUAUUAAUAUUAUAGCCAGCAGGUUGCUUGUGCCCUCUCAGAGAAGCACGGAGGCCUCCGUGCUCCUGAGCCAUUUCGUGAUGGAGUUUUUCGAAUCGAUAAAUCGGGUCCGUUAACUUGAUCUAGCGUAUUUAAAGUUCUAGAAAAUCAUUUUUGCCUGUUUUUCGAUAUCAUUUACUUAGCAAUCGAAAGGAUUCAAAUCAAUAUUUUUAACGGCUGAAAAUAAAUUCUAUAAAAAGUAAAGGGGUGAUAUAGCACUAAAAUUCUCAUCAGAACAUAUAGAUUUGUUGUAGCAAGUAUAAAGAAUUUUCUAUUAAAAUUUUAUCUGAUUGAAUACUCACACGAUAAAUUUGAAAACCGGGAUACUCAACCAUUUAAAAAUUGUAGAUUUUGAAAUCUUUCGAUAUUACUUAUUUAAAUGUAUCGAAAAAUCGGGCAAAAGUAUUUUCUAGAAACUUCAAAUGCGCUAGAAUCAGUCUAACGGAGCCGAUCGUCGGAAUUCGAAAAUCCGAUCAUCGAAACGGCUCAGGAGACGGUGGCCUCCGGUGGCCUCCGUGCUCUGAUGAGACCACAGAGCCAUGCAUCAAUAUAUUAUAAAAUAUAUAUAUAGUAUAAUUUUAUAUAGAGUAGGUAGAUAUCAUCAAGUAGCACGGAGGCUUCGUGCUACAGCAAGAUUGUUUCAAUGAUGGACUUCCAAAUCAACGAUCAAAUUACUGUUAGACUUAUCUACUAUUCAAAGUAUUUGUAAAUCUAAUUUAUAAUUUUCGGUAUUCAUUUACUAUAAAACGAGUAGUCUAAACUUAACGACUGGAACAUACAAAUUUCUAAAAUGAUGAUAAAGGACUGAAUUAAGAUCAGAGAUACUGAGUCUUACUCUAAAGUAGUGAACGAAUUUUCUAUUAAACAUUUCAUCUAAUUUGGAUGUUUUCACAGUUAAAAUUCCACAGAGACGCAUUAAAUCUUACUAUUGAAAAUUAUCAAUUUGAGACCUUUUAUCACUAGCCAGAUAAUGUUGAAAAAAUUCAUUGAAUUAGUUUCCAAAUACUUUUGAUAGUUAGAUCAAGUCUAACGGAGGCGAUCGUCGAUUUUGGACCGCAUCAUUGAAAACACUUGGUGCAGGAGGCCUCGCGUUGCUACCGAUAGUUAUCCAGCUGCUCAAUAUAUAUAUAUAUAUAUAUAUAUUAUUAUUAUAAUCUAAUAUAUAUAUAGAACUAGGCAUGGGAAUACUAUUAAUAGAACCUAGGUGGAAUCCUAUUAAGUUUCGCCCUUGGAUUAAAGAGUGCGUUUAUUGAUGAUGCGGCCCUCUAGGUUGAGUGAGUGGUUGAUUGAAGUAGUAUAAUCUAACGGUAAAAUGAUCAAAGGGUUAUUCAUGAACGGCAUAAAAAUUGUUGAUAGCACCAACUACUUAGGUUGCGUUAGAUAGAUGCAGCCCGGACUCUAUAUAUAUAUAUAUAUAUAUUAUAUAUAGGAGGGAGAGAGAGAGAGAUGGGACUGAAGAGAGAGACGAGAAGAGAGAGGAGAGAGAGAGUUGAGCGUAUGAUACUUUUACAAGUAUCACCAUCAUGGUGUAUUAGGUUUUAAGCAUUGGAACUACUUUUUGAUUAUUAAUAGCCUUGAGAUGUAAACACUUAUGUCCCACUGCACCAGCCUACCACCACCCUGACCACCAUCAUUUCAACCUCACAUCUCUCCAUUCCAAGGCUUAAUACACAAGUAUCACCCCGAUUGAUACUUUUACAAGUAUUGCUAGCCCUACUCUCUCUCUCUCUUUUCUCUAGUAUAUAUUAUAUAUAUAUAUGAAUUAUCCUACUAUCACUAUCAAUAGUACAAGGCCCGGUACUAUGAGUUUUGCGCGUUGGAUGAAAGGAAUUGCCGGUUAGGAUGAUAGUGGUCCCUAGGGUUGAGGCUGUGGUUGCGUUUAGUAUAAUCUACGGGGUGGAAAUGAUCUAAAAAGCAAUUUAACAGGCAGUAAGAAACUCGAUAGUCCCAAAAGAACUUGAUACUAUCAAUAGACUUAUAGUAGCACAAGGGACAUAACAAUAUAUAUAUUAUGAAUAUAUAUAUAUUAUAUAAUAAUAUAUAUUAUAUAUAUAAUAAUACUUAAUAUAGAUAUAUAUAUAAUAUAUUAUAUAUAUAUAGGCUCAAUUAUAUAUCCAUUAUAUUAUAUAUAUAUAAUUAUAUAUGUAUAUAUUAUAUAUAUAAGAAUCUGAGCCUAGAAUACUUUAGAAAGUACAAUCUCUUGGCUGCCUUCUAAGUUUUUCUUUCGCCCUUGAUUAUCCUAUUGCUAAUCCCCUUAUCAAACACUAUUCACUAUCACGACCUAGCAAUUACCACACAUAUCUUAAACCUACAUCUCUACAGUCAAUGAAUUAGAAAACUCAAACAGACCACCCUUGGUGCUUUUGAGAGUAUUACUACUCAACUCUCUCCUCUCUCUCUCUAUAUAUAUAUAUAUAUAUGAUAUAUAUAUUAUAUUAUAUAUAGGUCUGGCUUACGUUUAUAUUGAUAGUAUUGAGUUUUCUACCGUUAAUUUGACUGUCUGAUCAAUUUCCACCCGUUAAUGUAUCUAUUAAACCAACCACCCACUCAUCAUAGGGACCAUAUCAUCCUAACCGCACAUCUUUC
rnacentral:lncRNA from 1 species